rnacentral:rRNA from 1 species
AUGGCCCUUAUGGGUUGGGCUACACACGUGCUACAAUGGCGGUGACAGAGGGCAGCUAGAUCGCAAGAUCAUGCGAAUCUCCAAAAACCGUCUCAGUUCGGAUUGCACUCUGCAACUCGAGUGCAUGAAGUCGGAAUUGCUAGUAAUCGCGGAUCAGCAUGCCGCGGUGAAUACGUUCCCGGGCCUUGUACACACCGCCCGUCAAGCCAUGGAAGCUG